AAACUUCAGUCCUAGAUUUGCCCUUUGUGAAUGAUUUGACCGUGGGUCCCUUGCUUAACUGCCUCUGAUGCUUAACUUUCUCUUCUGGAACAAGAAGGGUAGGGUAUGGGUCUCUAUGCUUUAUAAACCAGAAGGGAAAUUCAAAUGUUGGUCAGUGCCAUGACUUUGUCCUCAGCCAUGAUUCCCAGGACCCAGGACCAGUGGAGAGAGGAAGAAAUCAUCAGCUAGUUACUUUGCUAAGGACGCUGGAUUUUGUACCCCAAAACUUUCUUCAGCAAAGCCCUGGUUUAAACAGAAAAUAGGCAGAUCCCAAUCUUGCUCCAACACAGCCAAUAAAGACAGCAAGCUGACUUGGGUUCCUGGCUCUUCCUUGGAAGGACCGGGAGACCCCAAAUGGAAAGGGGCCAUCGUGUAUUUGAUGUUGCCCGAAGCUCCUGUUCUUCAGUUGAGGCAUUAGUAGCUGUAAAAGGAGAAGCAAUAUUUCAACAGCAGUGCUGAUUGCUUAUAGAAGGAGCCAAGUGGCAGCUCAUCUUCAUGUGAAAGGCCUCUGGGCCCUUCCGGAGCUGGCACUCUGGCCUGCUCCAUCCCAUUUCAGUGCGGGCAGACUCCCUGCCUGGGACCCAGCUGGAAGUGGCAGAGCUGUUGCGACACAAAUCCAAUAAACUCCAAAAAAAUCUCUAUCGGCCUGCAAGGGCAGAGAAGAGAGUCAAAGUGUCGGUGUGCAAGCACAUGUGGGUAUGGGAAACGGAAGGAUUGUUGGUUUCCUCAAGGGGCCUCCCAAACCAGAAGGCCACCUUUGUGGGCGUGCAGUUUCACACCCCAGGUGUCUACCACAAGGGGGCCGACAAGCAGACGGGAAGGAAAACAUCCCAUGAUCCGGCGGGGGUGGCCUCCUGCUCCACGGGAGGGUUGGGAACAGCCAGGGCAGAGGCCAGAGCCAGAGAGGGAGGGGCCCUUCUGUGUGGCAGGAGCCAAGAACAAACGUGGGUGAAGUGGAUGAGGCUGACUCAGCAGGGGUAGUGUCUUAACUUCCACGACCACAAGGUACAAACUCUGGGAUGAGCCCUGUCUGCACACCCUUGUAUAAAGACCCAUGUAUACCCAUGAAUAUUAAUAAUAUAAUGGGACUGGCUUAUUUUUUUUUCUUUCGGGGCUAACAUUGUUG
rnacentral:lncRNA from 1 species